UCCUCCAAGGCUAAAUACUCCUGAUUGACCGAUAGUGAACCAGUACUGUGAAGGAAAGGCGAAAAGAACCCCUGCGAGGGGAGUGAAAUAGAACCUGAAACCGUAUGCGUACAAGCAGUGGGAGCCCCAUCACUCAAUCGUAUUGAUUGAAGUGAUAAACUUAACACUCUGAUGUGAGUUAACAACUUGCGAAGCAAGUUGGUCAACCACAAAAGAAGCAGUGUGAUUGAGUGAUGGGGUGACUGCGUACCUUUUGUAUAAUGGGUCAGCGACUUAUAUUUUGUAGCAAGGUUAACCGAAUAGGGGAGCCGUAGGGAAACCGAGUCUUAACUGGGCGUGUAGUUGCAAGGUAUAGACCCGAAACCCGGUGAUCUAGCCAUGGGCAGGUUGAAGGUUGGGUAACACUAACUGGAGGACCGAACCGACUAAUGUUGAAAAAUUAGCGGAUGACUUGUGGCUGGGGGUG
rnacentral:ncRNA from 1 species